AUUGAACGCUGGCGGCAGGCCUAACACAUGCAAGUCGAGCGGAUGAAGGGAGCUUGCUCCUGGAUUCAGCGGCGGACGGGUGAGUAAUGCCUAGGAAUCUGCCUGGUAGUGGGGGAUAACGUCCGGAAACGGGCGCUAAUACCGCAUACGUCCCGAGGGAGAAAGUGGGGGAUCUUCGGACCUCACGCUAUCAGAUGAGCCUAGGUCGGAUUAGCUAGUUGGUGGGGUAAAGGCCUACCAAGGCGACGAUCCGUAACUGGUCUGAGAGGAUGAUCAGUCACACUGGAACUGAGACACGGUCCAGACUCCUACGGGAGGCAGCAGUGGGGAAUAUUGGACAAUGGGCGAAAGCCUGAUCCAGCCAUGCCGCGUGUGUGAAGAAGGUCUUCGGAUUGUAAAGCACUUUAAGUCGGGAGGAAGGGCAGUAAGUUAAUACCUUGCUGUUUUGACGUUACCAACAGAAUAAGCACCGGCUAACUUCGUG
rnacentral:rRNA from 1 species